GAUGAAGAACGUAGCGAAAUGCGAUAAGUAGUGUGAAUUACAGAAUUCAGUGAAUCAUCGAAUCUUUGAACGCACAUUGCGCCCCUUGGUAUUCCAUGGGGCAUGCCUGUUCGAGCGUCAUUUGUACCUUCAAGCUUUGCUUGGUGUUGGGUGUUUGUCUCGCCUUUGCGUGUAGACUCGCCUUAAAAUAAUUGGCAGCCGGCGUAUUGAUUUCGGAGCGCAGUACAUCUCGCGCUUUGCACUCAUAACGACAGCGUCCAAAAGUACAUUUUACACUCUUGACCUCGGAUCAGGUAGGGAUACCCGCUGAACUUAAGCAUAUCAAUAAGCGGAGGA
rnacentral:misc_RNA from 1 species